ACGUACAAGCAGUGGGAGCCCCACCACUAAGCCAGUGGUGAACUCCACAUACGCAUCCUUUGCUGAGGAUACGGUUAACGGAGCGAAAGCGACGUUCAACCGCAAAAGAAGCAGAGGGGGCUUAGUGGUGGGGUGACUGCGUACCUUUUGUAUAAUGGGUCAGCGACUUAUAUUCUGUAGCAAGGUUAACCGAAUAGGGGAGCCGGAGGGAAACCGAGUCUUAACCGGGCGUUAAGUUGCAGGGUAUAGACCCGAAACCCGGUGAUCUAGCCAUGGGCAGGUUGAAGGUUGGGUAACACUAACUGGAGGACCGAACCGACUAAUGUUGAAAAAUUAGCGGAUGACCUGUGGCUGGGGGUGAAAGGCCAAUCAAACCGGGAGAUAGCUGGUUCUCCCCGAAAGCUAUUUAGGUAGCGCCUCGUGAAUUCAUCUCCGGGGGUAGAGCACUGUUUCGGCUAGGGGGCCAUCCCGGCUUACCAACCCGAUGCAAACUGCGAAUACCGGAGAAUGUUAUCACGGGAGACACACGGCGGGUGCUAACGUCCGUCGUGAAGAGGGAAACAACCCAGACCGCCAGCUAAGGUCCCAAAGUCAUGGUUAAGUGGGAAACGAUGUGGGAAGGCCCAGACAGCCAGGAUGUUGGCUUAGAAGCAGCCAUCAUUUAAAGAAAGCGUAAUAGCUCACUGGUCGAGUCGGCCUGCGCGGAAGAUGUAACGGGGCUAAACCAUGCACCGAAGCUGCGGCAGCGACGCUUAUGCGU
rnacentral:rRNA from 1 species